rnacentral:tRNA from 1 species
GCUCAGUUGGCUAAGCACCUGUCUUCAGUUCAGGUCAUGAACUCAUAGUUUGUGAGUUUGAGCCUCACAUUGGGCU